rnacentral:rRNA from 1 species
UACGGUGGGUGCAAGCGUUAUCCGGAUUUAUUGGGUUUAAAGGGUCCGCAGGCGGACCGAUAAGUCAGUGGUGAAAUCUCAUAGCUUAACUAUGAAACUGCCAUUGAUACUGUCGGUCUUGAGUAAAUUAGAGGUAGCUGGAAUAAGUAGUGUAGCGGUGAAAUGCAUAGAUAUUACUUAGAACACCAAUUGCGAAGGCAGGUUACCAUGAUUUAACUGACGCUGAGGGACGAAAGCGUGGGUAGCGAACAGG